rnacentral:lncRNA from 1 species
UUGAUUGAGUUGAUUAAGAUUUGGUUAGAAUUUGGUUUAGGAUUAGGAUUUGGUUUAGAAUUUAGGAUUUGUCUAGAAUUUGGUAUAGAAUUAAGAUUUGUCUAGGAUUUGAUUUAGGAUUUAAGAUUUAUCUUGGAUUUGGUUUAAGAUUAGGGUUUGUCUAGGGUUUGAUUUAGGAUUUAGGAUUUGUUUAGGGUUUGAUUUAGGAUUUAAGAUUUUUUUAGGAUUUGAUCUAAGAUUUAAGAUUUAUUUAAGGUUGAUUUAGGAUUUAAGAUUUUUUUAGGAUUUUAUUGAAGUCCAUUAGGAUUUCAAUAAAAAUUAAAUUAGAAUUUAGUUGAAAUUUAUUUAAGAUAUAUUUGUGAUUAUUUUAAUAUUUUUAGAAUUUCUUAAGGAUUAUUUUAAGGUCUAUUGUGGAUUUUCUUUUAAUGCCUUUAAGAUUUCUUAUUAUUUCUCUUAAAAUUUCUUUAAGGUUUUUUUUAAAUUUGAUUAAAGCUUAUUUAGCAUUGUUAAAGUUUAUUUAGAGUUUAUUUAGUAUUCUAUUAGAAUUAGGAUUUUGUUGUUGAAAUUUCCAUUCUAUCUUCCAUAAUCAAGUGCUUGGUGCAUUCUUGAGUAAGACUUCACAUAAUAUUAUAGCAAAUGUGAUAUUAGUAAAUGCACAUAAUAGCCAACAAAGAAUCUUGCAAAUGUAGCAAAGACUGUA